rnacentral:lncRNA from 1 species
AAAAAACUCAUGAUCAUCUAGUUAGUUGCUGAGAAAGCAUUUGACAAAAUCCAACAUCCCUUCAUUAUAAAAAUCAUGGAAAGAUAAGGAAUUCAAGGUCCAUACCUAAACAUAAUAAAAGCAAUAUACAGCAAACCAGUACCAACAUCAAGCUAAAUGGAGAGAAACUGGAAGCAAUCCCACUAAAAUCAGAAACUAGACAAGGCUGCCCACUUUCUCACUACCUAUUAAAUAUAGUACUUGAAGUCCUAGCCAGAGCAAUUUGACAACAAAAGGAAAUCAAGGGGAUACAAAUUGGAUAGAAGAAGUCAAAAUAUCACUAUUUGCAGAUGAUAUGAUAGCAUAUAGAAGUGACCCUAAAAAUUCGACCAGAGAACUCCUAAACCUGAUAAACAGCUUCAGUGCAGUAACUGGAUAUAAAAUCAACUCAAGCAAAUAAAUGGCCUUUCUCUAUACAAAGAAUAAACAGGCUGAGAAUGAAAUUAGGGAAACAACACCCUUCAUAAUAGUCACAAAUAAUAUAAAAUACCUUGGUGUGACACUAACUAAGGAAGUGAAAGAUCUGUAUGAUAAGAACUUCAAGUCUCUGAAGAAAGAAAUUAAAGAAGAUCUCAGAAGAUGAAAAGAUCUCCCAUGCUCAUGGAUUGGCAGGAUUAAUGUAGUAAAAAUGGCUAUCCUGCCGAAAUCAAUCUACAGAUUCAAUGCAAUCACCAUCAAAAUUCCAACUCAAUUCUUCACUUAGUAAGGAAGGGCAAUUUGUAAAUUCAUCUGGCAUAAUUAAAAACCUAGUAUAGCAAAAACUGUUCUCAAAUAUAAAAGGACCUCUGGUGGAAUCACCAUCCCUGAAUUCAAGUUGUAGUACAGAGCAAUUGUGAAAAAAACAAAAACAAAACUGCAUGGUACUGGUGCAGGAACAGACAGACAGGUCAAUGGAAUAGAAUUGAAGACCCAGAAAUGAAUCCACACACCUAUGGUCACUUGAUCUUUGACAAGGAAGAAAAGAGCAUUUACAACAAAUGGUGCUGGCACAACUGGCUGUUAGCAUGUAGAAAAAUGUGAAUUGAUCCAAUCUUAUCUCCUUGUACAAAGCUCAAGUCUAAGUGGAUGAAGCAACUCCACAUAAAACCAGAGACACUGAAAUUUAUAGAGGAGAAAGUAGGGUAAAGCCUUGAAGAUAUGGGCACAGGGGAAAAAUUCCUAAACAGAACAGCAAUGGCUUGUGCUGUAAGAUCAAGAAUUGACAAAUGGGACCUCAUAAAACUGCAAAGCUUCUGUAAGGCAAAAGACACUGUCAAUAAGACAAAAAGGCCACCAAGAGAUUGGGAAAAGAUGUUUACCAAUCCUAAAUCUGAUAAGGGACUAAUAUCCAAUAUAUACAAAGAGCUCAAGAAGCUGGACUCCAGAAAUUCAAUUAACCCCAUUAAAAAUGGUGUACAGAAGUAAACAAAGAAUUCUCAACCUAGGAAUACCGAAGGGCUGAGAAGCACCUGAAAAAAUGUUCAACAUCCUUAAUCAUCAGGGAAAUGCAAAUCAAAACAACCCUGAGAUUCCACCUCACACCAUUCACAAUGGCUAAGAUCAAAACUUUAGGGGACAGCCAAUGCUUGCGAGGAUGUGAAGAAAGAGGAACACUCCUCAAUUGCUGGUGGGAUUGCAAGCUUGUCCAACCCCUCUGGAAAUCAGUCUGGAGGUUUCUCAGAAAAUUGGACAUAGUACUAUUGGAAGAUACAGCAUACCACUCCUGGGCAUAUACCCUGAAUAUGUUCCAACUGGUAAUAAGGACACAUGCUCCAUUAUGUUCAUAGCAGCCUUAUUUAUAAUAGCUAGAAGCUGGAAAGAACACAGAUGUCCUUCAACAGAGGAAUGGAUACAGAAAAUGUGGUACAUUUACACAAUGGAGUACUACUCAGCUAUUAAAAACAAACAAUUUAUGAAAUUUGGGAAAAAGGAGUAUAUCAUCCUGAGUGAGGUAACCCAAUCACAAAAUAAGUCACUUGAUAUUCACUCACUGAUAAGUGUAUAUUAGCCCAGAAACUUAGAAUGCCCAAGAUACAAUUUGCAAAACACAAGAAGAUCAAGAAGGAAGGCCAACGUGUGGAUACUCCAUUCCUCCUUAGAGUGGGGAACAAAAUACCCAUGGAAGGAGUUACAGAGACAAAGUUUGGAGCUAAGUCGAAAGGAUGGAUGGUCCAGAGACUACCCCACCUGGGGAUCCAUACCAUCAUCAUCCACCAAACCCAGACACUAUUGCAUAUGACAAAAAGAUUUUACUGAAAGGACCCUGAUAUAGCUCUCUCCUGUAAGGCUAUGCCAGUGCCUGGCAAAUACAGAAGUGGAUGCUCUCAGUCAUCUAUUGGAUGUAACACAGGGCCCCUAAUGGAGGAGCUAGAGAAAGCACCCAAGGAGCUGAAGGGUUCUGCAACCCUACAGGAGGAACACAAUAUGAACUAACCAGUACCCCUCGGAGCUCGUAUCUCUAGCUGCAUAAGUAUCAGAAGAUGGCCUAGUUGGCCAUCAUUGGGAAGAGAGGCCCCUAGGUCUUGCAAACUUUAUAUGCCCCAGUACAGGGGAACGCCAGGGCCAAGAAGUUGGAGAGGGUGGGUAAGGGAGCAGGGCGGGGGAGGGUAUAGGGAACUUUUGGGAUAGCAUUUGAAAUGUAAAUAAAGAAAAUAUGUAAUAAAAAUAAAAUAAAAUUUAUCUGAUAGUAAAAGGAGACCUACAUUGAUAAUAAAUCAUCUUGGUGUUUGUCAGCAUAGAAAUUGGAAAAUAAUACCAAGUAAGAACAUUUUAAUAUGUAUCAAGGACUCAUCAAUUAUAUUAGGAUCCAAUGUCACCUUCAUUUUUACACUAUGAGUAAGGUUGUUUUGCUUGUCUGUCUGUUAACAAUGUGCUUGCAGUGCCUGUGGAGGCCAGAGUUAGACAGGAUGCAUGUUUUUAUCUGCUGAGCCAUGUCUCCAAUCCCAAGGCUUAGACUUGUAGUUUCUUGUCUGAAACAUAGUUAUCUAGAACAGAAUGUGGUGAUUGCUUAUUUUGCUGCUGUAUACUGCUCUCUUUUUUACCGUUAAGGAAAUCAACUCAAAACCGCCCAGUUGGCAUUAUCAAGGGUAAAUUUUAAUAGGAAUUCAUACAUUCAGGGGAGAGGGCUUUGCAAAGACGUCAGUGGAUCCUAAUAGAAUGAGUUUCCAGACAAAGGCUGGCUACAUAUUUUAUCCUUUAUCUUGGUGUUUUCUUCUUUUGAAUGAAUUCUUAACUUGGCUUUUGUAAAUCUGAUAUAAAUUUUCUGAAAAGUUUUUACAAACUAUGUAAAAUAAACAAGGGAACAACUAAUUUAUAAAUCACAGUGAACC